AGCCCUGGCUCUGUGCACACCCUGCGGGAGGGGAGGCUGCAGAGCAGCCCCACAAAAGGGCUUGGGGGGUUCUGGUGAACGGCAAGUUGCAUCUGAGCCGGCAGCGUGCCCCGACAGCCCAAAGGGCCAACCGUACCCUGGGGCGCAUCAGGCCCAGCACUCCCCAGGAAAGGACCGUCCCGCUCUGCUCUGCUCUGCUCUGCUCUGCUCUGCUCUGCCCGGUGCAGCCCGUGAGAAUGUCCGACACCGCUUCCUGAAGGGGUUGCAUUCUGCUUGGGAUCUGUGCCCAGCAGUGCCUGCAGCCUGCCCUGCUGCGCCGUGAGAAGGCAGGUCCUAGCCUGGGCUCAGAUGGCUGCAGGCCCUCGUUGCUGUUGGUUCCUAAGGCUUCCAAGGCGAUGCUUUGGCAUCCCCCACUUAGCCAGGUGCCGCUCCCCCCAUCCCCUUGGCUUGCUUAUGCACAGCUGCUCCGGUCAGGGCCUGCCCCUGGGCAAUCCCCGUGCCUUCCCUGGAGGCUCUUCUGAAAUGCAGAACUGACACACGGGUUUGGUAUGCACUUCUGAAGCGUGUCCAUAAUGACUGGGGGCAGCUUUUUCACUCUUUCUCCUUAGGGCAGCAGUGUGCAGCAGUUAGGAUGGCACGCUCCUCCCUUUCCGUCCGAGGCUGGCAUUAGCAAAUGGGUGUGUGUGGCAUGCAGACGUUAUUCUGCCUUCUGCUCUUUGUGACCGAGAAUCUGGAGCUCCUCAGUUACAAAAGUCGUUAAGCAACUGCUCGAACUUCAGUUUCUACUCCCUUUUGCGAGACAAACUAAAAAAAAAAGGCAGGGAUUUCACCUUAAAAUAAAACAAAUCAGGCGAGACAAGUGGGAAAGGUUUAUGGUUCUGACACCUAUUUUCAGAAGUAUCAGCCUAUGAAUCCACAUAGUUUUAAACAACACAAGAUAGGAAGGAUAUGAGAGAUAUCAAACUAUUUAUUUACAGAGCUUUUCGACAAUAACACGACUGUCUAACAGACAUUCUGGUGUUAACUACGUCCCUGUGCUCCCUAUCUGUCUGCUGCUGGCCCAGUCUCUUCUCCCACACGAGGCACUUCACACUGACGGCGUCAGCCGUGCUCUCCUCUCCCAUCCAGUUCUUCCUUCCUCAUCCUGGGUCCGGAGGGCAUCAUCGAUGCUGAGGUUAUGGGAGAAGAGUAACUUCGGUGCUUCCAGCCGAGAAGUGCCCUUUGCAAGGAAAGAAGAUGCAGAACGUCUCUGGCCAUCCUCACCUCCUCCGCUGCCCCAGGCUCAUCUCAUGGGAACGCCCCUCCCAGCCAGGAGGACGUGCUGGGAGCUGGGCCAUGCGCACACACACGGCCGUCCCUCGCUCUGAGCAGAAGGCGCGUCUUCUUCUCCGUGAUGCUCUGCUGGCAGGACGGGUCUCUGCAGAGCUGCUGUUCUUCUGCCAGCGCUGGGGCAGCAUCAGGCGUUGGUCUUCACCCCAUGCUGGCGGGGAGAGUGGUGUCCCAGGACACAGUGGCUCGUCUGAAACAGAGAUAAAGUUCUUUUCAGCAACUUUCUAUAUUGUACUCUAUAAACUAACUAUCUCCCAGUCACCCAUCUUUCUAUCCUGCAUCCCCCUAUCAGCUAUCUGGCUAUGAUCUAACUACAUCACUACCAACUCUUGCUUGCUGCUAACUACCUUGCUAUCCACAAACCUCCUCUCUACCAAUAACCCACCUAGCUAUCUGCUAUCUGUUCACUGCCUGUACCACCAUCAGCUAUCUAUCUCACUAUCUAUGUCGCUAUCAACUAUCAUGCUACCCACUAACUAUCUAUACAACAACUAUCUCUAUAUCCUCUUCUUCAUCAUCUACAUCUACCGGCCCCUGAUCCCCCCCCGGGGCUGCUCUCCUCCCGUCCCUCACACUGCCCGCUCUGGGCUGCCAGCCCGUGAUCUCCAUGCUGGUAGGCGGGGCUGCUGGGGGCUACUGGCGGCUGCGAAGGAAGCCGGGGGCUGCAGCACGGCCAGAGGGGCUGCCAAAAAAUCCGGGGGCUGCAGCACGGCCAGAGGAGGGGCUGCAGCCAAGGAAGCCAGGGGCUGCAGCACGGCCAGAGG
ensembl:lncRNA